ensembl:snRNA RNU6-1082P RNA, U6 small nuclear 1082, pseudogene
GUGCUUGCUGCAGUAGCACAUACACUAAAAUUGGAAGGAUACAGAGAAGAUGAGCAUGGCCCCUGCACAAGGAUGACACACAAAUCCAUGAUGCGUUCCAUAUUUUC